rnacentral:rRNA from 1 species
AGAGUUUGAUCAUGGCUCAGAAUCAACGCUGGCGGCGUGCCUAACACAUGCAAGUCGCACGAGAAAGUGGAGCAAUCCAUGAGUAAAGUGGCGUACGGGUGAGUAACACGUGACUUAUCUACCUCCGAGUGGGGGGAUAACCUAGAGAAAUCUGGGCUAAUACCGCAUAACACUUACGAGUCAAAGCAGCAAUGCGCUUGGAGGGGAGGUCGCGGCAGAUUAGUUAGUUGGCGGGGUAAUGGCCCACCAAGACGAUGAUCUGUAUCCGGCCUGAGAGGGCGCACGGACACACUGGAACUGAAACACGGUCCAGACUCCUACGGGAGGUAGCAGUGGGGAAUUUUGCGCAAUGGGGGAAACCCUGACGCAGCAACGCCGCGUGGAGGAUGAAAUCCCUUGGGAUGUAAACUCCUUUCGAUUGGGAAGAUUAUGACGGUACCAAUAGAAGAAGCCCCGGCUAACUUCGUGCCAGCAGCCGCGGUAAUACGAGGGGGGCAAGCGUUGUUCGGAAUUAUUGGGCGUAAAGGGCGCGUAGGCGGUUUGACAAGUCUGAUGUGAAAUCUCUGGGCUCAACCCAGAGUCUGCAUUAGAAACUGUCGGGCUUGAGUAUGGGAGAGGUGAGUGGAAUUUCCGGUGUAGCGGUGAAAUGCGUAGAUAUCGGAAGGAACACCUGUGGCGAAAGCGGCUCACUGGACCAUAACUGACGCUGAGGCGCGAAAGCUAGGGGAGCAAACAGGAUUAGAUACCCUAGUAGUCC